rnacentral:rRNA from 1 species
AACGCGAAGAACCUUACCUGGUCUUGACAUCCACAGAACUUACCAGAGAUGGUUUGGUGCCUUCGGGAACUGUGAGACAGGUGCUGCAUGGCUGUCGUCAGCUCGUGUUGUGAAAUGUUGGGUUAAGUCCCGCAACGAGCGCAACCCUUAUCCUUUGUUGCCAGCGGUCCGGCCGGGAACUCAAAGGAGACUGCCAGUGAUAAACUGGAGGAAGGUGGGGAUGACGUCAAGUCAUCAUGGCCCUUACGACCAGGGCUACACACGUGCUACAAUGGCCC